rnacentral:rRNA from 1 species
ACUAGGGAUAACCUUAGGAAGAGACACAUCAUCAAACCCCUUGAUUGUGUUUACUGCUUGAAACAAGAGUCUUGUUCUCACCUAUUUUUUGAAUGUAUAGUUGCUAAACAUCUCUGGGCCCUCAUUGAGGAAUAUUUCUCUAGUCAGAUUGGCUCAUCCUUCGAAUCUGUCGCCAGAUUCUGGAUUGCUACCAAAAAGUGCUCAGUUUUAAACACUGUUACCUCAGCUGUCCUUUGGUGCCUCUGGAAAUAUAGAAAUGCUAUGAUUUUUAGUAACACCUCCAGGAUUUCCAUUCCGUAGGUCUUGAGGUUGAUCAGGAACAUGGUGAGGAACUGGGCGAUUCUCUCCUCCGGGUCGACAAGGACAAGUUGA